AAAUGGACAGGACAGAAGGCUACUUGGGGCAUUUGAGUAAGUAAAGGGAAAAGGCAAACCUGGUAAUAUUAAUGGAUAAUUUUGUUUCUCUUUCCAAAUUCGUCUGUUGGUGCUCAAAGGUUCAUUCACAUUAAUGUAGAUUAGCAAUUUAAUUCGGAUAGUUUGAAGGGUCAUUUUCUGUUUUUGAGCAAGAAAUUUUUUGUUAUAAUAAUUUUUCAACAAUGACGUGAUAUACUUAAAUAAUCAAACCUAAUGGGAUUAUCCCUUAACAAUGGGAUGAUGUUGGUUGAUAAGUGUGGCUAUAGUUGCAAUGGAUUAUGAUAAAACAUGCAAUAUUUAAAUUAUUAAAACUUAACUGUAUGUUUUUUUUUUGUUCAAAGGGGAUGAAGCCAGUUGAAAAGUAUGGCUAUACUGGCUAUAGGAGUAGAUCGAUUGAGAAUUCUCAAACUGUCAGUAUCAUUCUUAUAAUGAACUUCCUCGCCAUUUAUUUCUGUGAUUACUCUAAAGGGGAGUUGGGGCUUUCAUAAUGCAGUGUUAUUAGCAAUCAAUACAACUUUUCUGUGGAUAUCAUACACAUUAUUAGAAUUUCUGGUGAAAUAUGCAGGCAGUUAUUUUCCUGGAUUCAGAAGUGAUACCAUGCUCAUGGCUGUGAUGAUAAAUAAAAAGUUAAUCAGCAUCUUGAGUUUUACCCUCCCAUUUUGUAAUAAUGUUGGUCUCGAAAAUUUAUCCAUAGUCAAUAUUUCUGUUGUGAUAAGCAGUUUAUCUAAACAUAGUGCCAGUAUGUGAUCGAGCAGCAGGUGGCACACGUGUUUGUGAAUGAUUAUGAGGAUGGAAAUGUUUUAAUCCAAACUUAUGGUCAUGAUUUUGAUGGUUCCAUGUGAAUAAAUGUACACCUGUAGCAGUAUGAUUGACUAAUGAUUUUAAUAGGAUCCACUGUAACAGAUCAUGGCAUGGUGUUGCUAUGAUUUGGUGACUGGCAACUGAUAGUUGUGUAAGAUGGCCCUGUUUAAGGGAUGAAGAUGGUUACAUUAUAUUGGGUAUAAUGAGAAGAUGGUUGAAGUAAGAUUAUAUAAUAACCUGUUACUUUUUCAGAUAUGUAUGUAUGUAUGUAUGUAUGUAUGUAUGUAUGAAUGUAUGUAUGUAUGAUCUUUUACUGGUAUUCUUUUGGGUUCAUCUCAACUAGGUAGAAAGUACUUUAAGUUGUUGAUUAAAAUUAUACUUGCCGCACAGGUGUAUAACAUGUGUGAUACCGUCCUACUUUCAUGUGGUCCCUCAGCUGUUUGUUCUGAAGUUGCACCGUUAUGCAAUGUGCUUUGUCCUUGGAGAUAAUUGGUUGAACCUAUGUUAUCCGGAUAUAGGUAAAUCUUUGAAAUGAGUAUAACAAAAUUACCAUAUGUUUGGAGUAUCAUAUCUUAUACAGCAUACUCAUGUCCAUAUGUGCCUUUAAUAUAGGUAGUCGGCACGGAUACCUUACUGGAAAAUAAAAAGUCAUAUGUUUUUGGUACUGUUAUUUUGCCUUUUGACUCUGCUUUUUCAUUUUUCCAGAAAAAGUCUUAUUGUUUCAGAUGGUUUUACCUCAAAUUUCGAGGUUUACAAUUUGUUUUUGAACACUGUAGUUUGCAUUUUUACUUUUGCCUGUUCGUGAUCUCUACAACCUUUGAGAAAUUUGAUAUGUUUUUUUCUUACCAAAGCGUCAAAUUAUUCUGAUCUUUCUCGGUUUCUCUAGUCGUUUGCAAAUUGUAUUCGAGCAUUCCUUCCAUCGUACUGACGUUCCUAUAGGGUAUCAUUUACUGAUAUGAAUUUAAAAAAAAAAUCAUAGAAUCGUGUUUUCUUAAGCAACUAACAUUGAUUGAAGGGAAAGCUGGUUGGAUCUGAGGGGACUAAUAUUUUGUAUCGGUGCUUACUGCAUUGCUUUUGUUUCUUAGGUCAUUCCAGUAAGACUGCCCUCAUUCGUAAGCAGAUUCGGGCCUAAUCAGGCAUUGGGGCCACCGCCAAAGUCACCGGGGCUUCAAAGUUGAAAGACAUAUAGGUAAGCUUAUUUGCAUACCAUUACAAGCCUGGUUGUAACUCUAUAUGAGGCUCUACCUUCCACACUAGUCACCGAUAUAAGGAUAGUAUGAGCCCUUCAGCCAAGGGCACCUCUGAUUUCUCACACGACCAUGAAUAGACACGUGGGCUAUAGUAUGCCCACUUCUGCAGAUUGCCACGUGAAAUCAUCAGUAUGCACAUGUUACACAUGUCUCAUAUUCAGUUGAUGGUGGUGCAUUGAAAACUUCCCAUAUGUCCUGUUAAUAUCCCUAUUUAUUACUAGUUAAAACUUGUGUAAAGAGGCAAAGAGCAGUGGUAGAACAAGAUGGUUGGGUUGGUUGGAUCGAUUAGAUUAAGAAUUUAUUAAUAUAUUAGUUUGAAUAAAGGGAUUGAAUCAGUUUUUGAGUGAAUCGUUUAAAACUAGUAAAAAAUUAGAAAUAAGACAAAAAUUGAUGAUUGAACCUGUUUAUAAAUUAUUAAAAUAUUUUUAUAAAUUUUAAAUUGUUUAUUUAAUUAUUAUUGGAUCGAUAGUCGAAUUGAUUGCAAUGAGAAUCAAUAGUCUAAUCAAUUUGAUCAUCGACCCGAUUUUUAAAAUAUUGUCAAAAGUUUUUAGAGGUGAGUUUGAAAUGAUACAAUUUAAUUUUCCAUGUUAUACCUUAUUCUAAAUAACUAAUAACAAUAAAAAGUUUAGUUAGUUAAUGUGAUGUUUUUUCUAAAAGAAAAGGUAAAAUUAUGAUUAUCAAAAUCAUCAUUAUUUACUAAUUUUUCAUUUUAAGAAAAAAACCCAGGAUUCGAUCCUUUAAAAGAAAUUUAUACAUCAAAACAUUAAUGAAAAUUUCUAAAAGUGUUAAUGAUUUGUACUGAGAUAUAAGAAUAGGAACAAUUAAAUCAAAUUAAAGUUAAGAAUUAAUUGGAUAAAGAUGGCUGAGUUGAUUAAAUAUUUAAUAAAAAAACAAGGAAGUGCUUAUAUUGGGGAAUUUUUUCCCAUUAAUAUAUUUUUAUUAUAAUUGAUAAUAUACAUACAUAUUUUAAAGAAAAUUUAACAGUUACUAGCUGCAAAAAUAACAAGAAGUUAAUAAUUAUAGUAUAAGUUCAGGUGAAAUAUGAGAUGAUUGUAGAAACCCCAGAUGAAAAAUAGCAGGGUUUUGUUAGGGAGCAGAAAAGUUGUGGUUGCUGCAUUGGUGGAUGGGCUUCUUUCCCAAAUUUAUAACUUAAGGGCACAUGUUUUAAGAAGGACAGCUGGAUUGUUUCCAAAAUCUGGCAGGGAGUCCUUGUUGAGGGACUGGGAAUGGGCCAUAUUGGAUCCCACUUUCAGAACCCACCACCUCCCACCUGCAAAAAAAAGAUAACCACACGCCCAAUUAGAAAGGGACUAGUCUAAAUUCUUUUAGCACUACAAAAUCUUUUGCAACUAAACAUAAACUUCUUGAUUAGGUUAGAAAUGGCAAUGGAUACUAAAUGAAAUAGAUUUCCGUAUUUGGUCUGUUCUUUUGUGAAUUCAGAUAGAAUAUUAAAUUUACUAUUUGCAGUGGGUUUGAAUAUCUAUUAUUUUAUUGCUUUAAUUUUUGUAUUUCGGAUAUUCAAAUAUGUUAUCUUCAUCUACUUCAUUUUGCAUAUAUCCAAAUUCAAUAUAUCUUCACAUAUCUAGCUAUUAUUUAAAUUUAUUUCUUUAGUCUUUUAAAAAAAAAAUUUAAGUGAAUUUCUGCAAACAAUCCUUCUCCCUUAUUUUGUAACACUAGAAUUCAUAGUGAAAUAUACCUGAAUUUUGUUACUAGAUGAUGGAUCAAAAUGAGAGCCUCCAGCUUGGCUAGCUCGUUGCCUGGACAAGCAUGAACACCGUUGCCAAACGGCAUGAAGGUAUUUGGUUUUGGAGCUACCUGCUUAAAUCCAUUUCCAGAAAAGCAAAAAUA
rnacentral:lncRNA from 1 species